AUGGCGCCCGGAGGAGACGGGGAGGGGUAGGCCGCGGGCGGGGGGAGCGGGUCUCGAGCAGGAGAGAACGGGGCCGGCCCUUGGCGGGGGGGUCGCUGGGCUCCGGAGGGGACAGGGCCCGGAGGCCGCGGGCCGCCUCCGGCUGCCGCUCACCGGCGGGGCCGCGCCAGGGCUCCUCAGCGGGCGGGCAGGCCCAGCGCCCCGUCGGGGCUGCAGGGAAGGCUGGCCGUGCAGCAGGGCUGCCGCGGGCUCGGCACACGGCAUGGGCAGCUCUGCCGUGCGCGGUAAGCUGCACGGGGCACAUCCCGGGGGCUCCUAAGGAUGUAAUGCCAUAAAGAGCUCAGCCAGUCCCAGCUAAUUAGGCGUAAAUGAAGGGGAGGAGCCGCUCCCAAAUAAAGCAAGCUUCAAGGA